CCAUUUUUAAUAAAACUUUUCAGACCCUCUUUGUCUUGGUUAUAUGAAACUCACCAUGCUAAAAGCAUGAAAAACUUGUGUAUAGAAAGUUUACUUAUUAAAUGAAUUACAAAUCAAUAAUCAAAACUAUAAAGUGAUGAUCAUUUUCAUUGGUGUUUUUUAAUAUUUAAAUAUACAAAGUCACAUGGUACAAAUAAACAAACAUUAAAAGCACAUGUAUGUUGUUUU
rnacentral:lncRNA from 1 species